ACACCAUGAGAGUUUGUAACACCCGAAGCCGGUGGCGUAACCCUUUUAGGGAGCGAGCCGUCUAAGGUGGGACAAAUGAUUAGGGUGAAGUCGUAACAAGGUAGCCGUAGGAGAACCUGCGGCUGGAUCACCUCCUUU
rnacentral:rRNA from 1 species